rnacentral:rRNA from 1 species
GACGAACGCUGGCGGCGUGCUUAACACAUGCAAGUCGAACGAUGAAGCCUAGCUUGCUAGGUGGAUUAGUGGCGAACGGGUGAGUAAUACGUGAGUAACCUACCUUUAACUCUGGGAUAAGCCUGGGAAACUGGGUCUAAUACCGGAUACGACCAAUCUCCGCAUGGGGUGUUGGUGGAAAGCGUUAUGUAGUGGUUAUAGAUGGGCUCACGGCCUAUCAGCUUGUUGGUGAGGUAACGGCCCACCAAGGCGACGACGGGUAGCCGGCCUGAGAGGGUGACCGGCCACACUGGGACUGAGACACGGCCCAGACUCCUACGGGAGGCAGCAGUGGGGAAUAUUGCACAAUGGGCGCAAGCCUGAUGCAGCGACGCCGCGUGAGGGAUGACGGCCUUCGGGUUGUAAACCUCUGUUAGCAGGGAAGAAGAGAGAUUGACGGUACCUGCAGAGAAAGCGCCGGCUAACUACGUG